rnacentral:rRNA from 1 species
UGGGGAAUAUUGGAUACUGGGCGAAAGCCUGAUCCAGCCAUGCCGCGUGUGUGAAGAAGGUCUUCGGAUUGUAAAGUACUUUAAGUUGGGAGGAAGGGCAGUAAGUGAAUACCUGGCUGUUGUGACGUUACCGACAGAAUAAGCACCGGUUAACUCUGUGCCAGCAGCCGCGGUAAUACAGAGGGUGAAAGCGGUAAUCGGAAUUACUGGGCGUAAAGCGCGCGUAGGUGGUUCGUUAAGUUGAAUGUGAAAGCCCCGGGCUCAACCUGGGAACUGCAUCCAACACUGGCGUGCUCGAGUAGGGCAGAGGGUGGUGGAAUUUCCUGUGUAGCGGUGAAAUGCGUAGAUAUAGGAAGGAACACCAGUGGCGAAGGCGACCACCUGGGCUCAUACUGACACUGAGGUGCGAAAGCGUGGGGAGCAAACAGG